GGCGGUGGUGGCCCGCGGAGCCGGACGGGGCACUAUGAACGAAGAGGAGCAGUUUGUAAACAUUGAUUUGAAUGAUGACAACAUUUGCAGUGUUUGUAAACUGGGAACAGACAAAGAAACACUCUCCUUCUGCCACAUUUGUUUUGAGCUAAAUAUUGAGGAAAGAAGACAAAGAUAGAUUUAUCUCUACUUUAGAGGAAGUGAAGUGUCACCCUCUAGUUGGAAGAAACUAGUCCACCUUAUGCUCAGUAAAUAUUUAGGGAAUUUAUACUUUUAGGGGUACCAAAGUCUGAUCUCUUGCACACCAAAUCAUUAAGGGGCCAUAAAGACUGCUUUGAAAAAUACCAUUUAAUUGCAAACCAGGGUUGUCCUCGAUCUAAGCUUUCAAAAAGUACUUAUGAAGAAGUUAAAACCAUUUUGAGUAAGAAGAUAAACUGGAUUGUGCAGUAUGCACAAAAUAAGGAUCUGGAUUCAGAUUCUGAAUGUUCUAAAAACCCCCAGCAUCAUCUGUUUAAUUUCAGGCAUAAGCCAGAAGAAAAAUUACUCCCACAGUUUGACUCCCAAGUACCAAAAUAUUCUGCAAAAUGGAUAGAUGGAAGUGCAGGUGGCAUCUCUAACUGUACACAAAGAAUUUUGGAGCAGAGGGAAAAUACAGACUUUGGACUUUCUAUGUUACAAGAUUCAGGUGCCACUUUAUGUCGUAACAGUGUAUUGUGGCCUCAUAGUCACAACCAGGCACAGAAAAAAGAAGAGACAAUCUCUAGUCCAGAGGCUAAUGUCCAGACCCAGCAUCCACAUUACAGCAGAGAGGAAUUGAAUUCGAUGACUCUUGGUGAGGUAGAGCAACUGAAUGCAAAGCUCCUACAGCAAAUCCAGGAAGUUUUUGAAGAGUUAACUCACCAAGUGCAAGAAAAAGAUUCUUUGGCCUCACAGCUCCAUGUCCGCCACGUUGCCAUCGAACAGCUUCUGAAGAACUGUUCUAAGUUACCAUGUCUGCAAGUAGGGCGAACAGGAAUGAAGUCGCACCUACCCAUAAACAACUGACCUAAACAGACUUACUUCGUAUGCCCUGCCCUUUAUUGGUCUCCCAGACAUGCAAACUUUGAAGAAGUUUGAAGAAAGUUGUGGUCCGUUUUUUUAUGGUCAUUAAAUUUGCCAAACAUAAGGCAGUAUUUAACAUCUUUGUCAAAUAAAGCAGAUCAUUAUACUCUAGUCUUCUAGGGCUAAUCAUUUUGGCUCAUUUGGGGACUCUUUUUUCCCAGAAUUACUAAACAAAUUUUAUCACAUGUGACUACUUAAAUAUACUGUUACAGUGUCAUUUUAUUAAACAUUUUAAUUCACCUGUCAAAACAACAGAUUAACUCCUUAGUGUAAACUACUAGAGAUAAUUUUUAAGAGGGAAAUGGAAUUCAUAUCACCUCUUAUUUAUUAUGAGCAAUAUUUUAAUAUAAAAAUUUUAUAUGUGAAAAUGCUAUUUUAGGUACUUUGCCAUUCUCUUUAUAAAUGUGUAUUUGAGUGGUUCUGUAUAUUUAUUUACAUUAUCAUGUGUGAAUAUGUUCACCCAUAUUUCAGGUCACUGCAUUUUAUUCUCUUAAUACAAUGUUUUCACAACGGUUACCUUGCUUUCCAAAGAUAAAUAUAUUUUGGAUUAG
rnacentral:lncRNA from 1 species